rnacentral:tmRNA from 1 species
AAAGACCACCGCUAUCAAGAGGCCGACUGCCGCGCAGGAGAUGCCGGCGAGGAUCCGGCUGAGCACCGCAAGGUCCCCGAAAUGGGCAUAGGCGAUGGCAAGCACCGUCACGAUCAGUGUCGGCGGCACCAACCGCCCCGCGAAGGCGGCAAGGCCCCCGGCGACGCCGCGCAGCCGCGAUCCGAACACCAUGGACAGAUUGACGAUGUUGGGGCCCGGCAGGAAAUGGCAGAGCGCAAAGGUCUCGUUGAACUCGUCCGCCGUCAUCCAGCGGUGCUGCUCGACGAUCGCGCGCCGGGCAAACACCAGGACGCCCCCGAAACCGGCCAGCGACAUCCGGGCAAAUGCCAGGAAUAGUGCGGCGACGCUCGGCGGGGUGGCAAGAAUACCCGGCUGCUGGGCGGCCGGCGCUGAAUCCGGGGACAUGUCAGGAGCUUAGAACGAGGAUUGCGCGGCGGCCAAGACGAGUCCGGAACUUACCCAGAGGGAAUAACCCUCCAACCCUCUGUUUUUUGAGAGCUUUGUCCCCUAUNNNNNNNNNNGGCUUUGGCGGGGGCGAAAUAGGAUCGACGAGGGCGUAAAGGGCGUACUUUUUCCCGGUAUUGUUCCGCCGUUAUCGGGCUACUGCAAUAGUUGCCAACGACAACUUUGCUCCGGUUGCUCAGGCUGCGUAACGCAGUUUGAAAGACCACUCUAAAGUCCUAACGGGUUAAGCUCCGUUAGGCGGGGUUCGGAGGCACCUGGCAACAGAAGCCUCCACU